UUAGUCGCUGCGAAUAGACCCGAAACCGGGUGACCUACCCAUGGUCAGGAUGAAGUUACCGUAAAAGGUAAUGGAGGUCCGAACUCACAUCUGUUGAAAAAGGUGGAGAUGAACUGUGGGUAGCGGAGAAAUUCCAAUCGAACCCGGAGAUAGCUGGUUCUCCUCGAAAUAGCUUUAGGGCUAGCGUUGUUAGGAGUCUAAUGGAGGUAAAGCACUGAAUUCCCUAGGGGGCCCACAAGCUUACCGAAGGAUAUCAAACUCAGAAUGCCAUAAAGAUACCAACAGCAGUCAGACUACGAGUGAUAAGACACGUGGUCAAAAGGGAAAGAGCCCAGACCAUCAGCUAAGGUCCCCAAGUGUAUGUUAAGUGGAAAAGGAUGUGAGAUUUCGAAGACAACUAGGAUGUUGGCUUAGAAGCAGCCAUACAUUCAAAGAGUGCGUAAUAGCUCACUAGUCGAGAGAUCUUGCGCCGAAAAUGUCCGGGGCUAAAACAUACCACCGAAGCUAUGGAAUCAUCUAGUAUGAUUGGUAGAGGAGCGUUGCAUCGGCGCAGAAGCAGUACCGGAAGGAGCUGUGGAGCUUAUGCAAGUGAGAAUGCCGGAAUGAGUAGCGAGAUAGAAGUGAGAAUCUUCUAGGCCGAAUAUCCAAGGUUUCCAGGGUAAAGCUGAUCUGCCCUGGGUAAGUCGGGACCUAAGGCGAGGACGAAAGUCGUAGUCGAUGGACAACUGGUUGAAAUUCCAGUACCACCUAUUAUCAGAACUGCAGGGACGCAGAAGGAUAGGGAAGGCGCAGAAUGGAAAGCUGCGUGCAAGCACAAAGUCGCAUCUGGUAGGCAAAUCCGCCAGACGAGGAUGAAGUGUGAUGCGGAUCGAAAUACAAGUAGAGAAGUUCCUGAAUCCACACUGCCGAGAAAAGCUGCUAUUGCGUGAUAGGUGCCCGUACCGUAAACCGACACAGGUGGAUGAGGAGAGAAUCCUAAGGCCGACGGGAGAAGCGUUGUUAAGGAACUCGGCAAAAUGACCCCGUAACUUAGGGAGAAGGGGUGCCUGCUUAACGGCAGGCCGCAGAGAAUAGGCCCAAGCAACUGUUUAACAAAAACACAGGUCUUUGCUAAACCGAAAGGUGAUGUAUAAGGGCUGACGCCUGCCCGGUGCUGGAAGGUUAAGGGGAGAGGUUAGGAGUAAUCCGAAGCUUUGAACUUAAGCCCCAGUAAACGGCGGCCGUAACUAUAACGGUCCUAAGGUAGCGAAAUUCCUUGUCAGGUAAGUUCUGACCCGCACGAAAGGCGUAAUGAUUUGGGCACUGUCUCGACAGCGCACCCGGUGAAAUUGUAGUACCAGUGAAGAUGCUGGUUACCCGCGACAGGACGGAAAGACCCCGUGGAGCUUUACUGUAACUUGAUACUGAGGUUGGGUAUUACAUGUACAGGAUAGGAGGGAGGCUAAGAAGCCAGGACGCCAGUCUUGGUGGAGCCACCGGUGGGAUACCUCUCUUGUAAUACUUAACUUCUAACCAGAGCCCGUUACCCGGGUUUGGGACAAUGUCAGGUGGACAGUUUGACUGGGGCGGUCGCCUCCGAAAGAGUAACGGAGGCGCUCAAAGGUAACCUCAGAAUGGUCGGAAACCAUUCGAAGAGUGCAAAGGCAGAAGGUUGCUUGACUGCGACACCGACGGGUGGAGCAGGUACGAAAGUAGGACUUAGUGAUCCGGUGGUAUGAAAGUGGGAUUGCCAUCGCUCAACGGAUAAAAGCUACCCCGGGGAUAACAGGCUUAUCUCCCCCAAGAGUUCACAUCGACGGGGAGGUUUGGCACCUCGAUGUCGGCUCAUCGCAUCCUGGAGCUGAAGCAGGUUCCAAGGGUUGGGCUGUUCGCCCAUUAAAGCGGUACGCGAGCUGGGUUCAGAACGUCGUGAGACAGUUCGGUCCCUAU
rnacentral:rRNA from 1 species